rnacentral:lncRNA from 12 species
GUUUUCUGAGGCCAGCAUUACUUUGAUUCCGGGGCCGGACGGGGACCCCACCAAAAAGGAGAAUUAUAGACCCAUGUCCCUGAUGAGCUCAGAUGCAAAAAUUCUCAGCAAGGCACUGGGAACAGGAUCAAACAGACCUUAAGAAGAUUAUUCACGAGAGGUGGGGCAAGAUGGCGGGAGAGCAGGGUCCCCAAGUCACCUGUCCCCACCAAAUUACCUAGAUAACCUUCGAAUCAUCCUGAAAACCUAAGAAUUCAGCCUGAGAUUUAAAGAGGGAACAGCUGGAAUGCUACAGUGAGAAGAGUUCAGGCUUCUAUCAAGAUUUUAUUUACAUAUUCAUGAGAGACACAAAGAGAAAGGCCGAGACAGAGGGAGAGGCACACUCCAUGUGGGAAGCCGGAUCUGGGACUCAAUCCUAGGACCCCUGGAUCACGACCUGAGCUGAAUGCAGAAGCUCAACUGCCUAGCCACCCAGGUGCCCUGUUGGAAGGCAUGCCAAGCAUGGUCUCCACAGGACCUUGGGAUGAUGCCGACCCACACUGUGGAAGGUCACGGACAAUCAGAGCUUUCUGCAGAGCACAGGGGGGCCCAGGAGGCUGCGGGGAACUGCUGACCUGAUGCUUGGGGUGACACCUCCCAACAAACGGCUGGCGCCGAGAUGGUGGUGGAUGGCCUGCCAGCGAGUGUUCCUGAGAGCUUGGGGCAGACCGAAGGUUCCUCUUAGAUUCCACAAGCACAACACCAAAGUGAAAAAGCAAUGAACUGGACUUCAUCAAAAUUAAAAACUUACGCCAGCAAAAGUGUGACCAAACAAAAAAAAUAAAAUAAAAUAAAAUAAAUAAAUAAAUUUAUGAAUUAGAAGAAAAAUAAAUAAAUAUGAGAACAAAGCAAAGCAGCCAAAAAUGUAAAAAGGAAUUUAAUUCAGGCAAGAAAGAAAGAAAGAAAAAGGAAAGGGACAGGGAAAGAGAGGAGAGCGGAGGAGAGAGAGGAGAGGAGAGGAGAGGAAAGGAGAGGAGAGGAGAGGAGCGGAGGGGAGGGGAGGGGACGGGAGGAGGGGGGGGGAGGGAAGACCAGGGAGACUAGGGCAGUGAGGUCAGCUCAAUAAUGAAUAAUAUCCCCCAACGCAGAUGCCCAUAUCCUAAUCCCUGGGACCUGUGAACACAUCACCCUAAUGGCAAAAGGGACUUUGCAGGUGUGAUUAAUCGAAGACUCUUGAAAUGGGGAGAGUGUCCUGAACGAUCCAGCAGGGCCCACUGUAACCACAGGAGUUCCUCUAAGAGGGAGGCAGGAGUGUCAGAGAGACAGAGAAUAAGAUGCUCCACUG